rnacentral:lncRNA from 1 species
UUCCUUUAGCUUAUCAUCUUUUCUCUGUGGAAGGCAGCCAAAUCGCAUUGAUGUUUAGCAGUCGGAAAAAAUACUAGGCAAUAACAAACGAAACUGAACUUUGUAGAGUUUCACGUAUACAAAAACUCACCCAACACAAACGUGAAGAUAACUAAACGAGUUCCACAAAUUUAAAAGCUUCAAAAUUGAAUUUUUCUAAAAAUAUCAUGCUAAUUGAUUAUGGUAUAUGAGAAGCCCCAAUUCAGCGAGAAACCAUAAACAAAGAUUUUCAAAUUCGACAGAGAAGAUCUAAAACAACAACAAAAAUAAUACAGUGGACAUGCAUGUCACAUACUUAAACUGAUGGUUCCUGGUAGAUAAGAGAAGUUUACAUCUUUUAAAAAGCUUCCUGCAUAUUUCCAUAUAGUUGUUCCAAGCUUGAAUUUUUCUGCAUAUUUUUCCGUGUAGUAGCGACUAGUCAGUUUCUUCGCAACUGUACAACAAGAAUAUAUUAGAUUGUCUAACAAUUAAAACAAAGGAAAGAACAAUCAAGUCAUUGUCUUAAUGUAGCUUUUAAAUUGACAAUUGAAGGACAAACUAAUUCCCUAAGCUGAAAAUUUACCUGUGUUCAAAAGUAACCAGGUUUUUUGUAUGCAUUGGUAACUCUGGGAAAGAACAAUCAAGUUAUUAAAAUAUAUGGGAAAGGAAAAACACAAAUCAACAGAAAAAAUAAAUGUAAAACAUUAGAUCAAAAGAAUUGAAUCAACUAUUCAAAUUUUACCAUUGCACAUCAUAGAGAAAAGGACGGGGCGAGCAAUUUGCCGCUUGAACAGAUCGAGAGAAGCAAGUUCAGUAAUUGAGUAUUUGGCAAGAAAUUUCAGUAAGGUCUAAAUUAAACUGUGAAUUUGAACUGAAAACAACAAAAACACCAAAAUACAGGUAGAAUGAUCUCAAAUUCCUGAUUAAAAAUGUUGAUUGCAUUAAAGCACUUAACUUAACAAUUGCAUUUCCUAGGACAGAAAAUUCAGUAUAUGUGAUGUCAAAGUUUAAACUUUGACUUGCAACGUUACCUACACGACAUGAAAAUUGUCCUAAAGCUUCAAUAAAUGGAAUAGACUUGAUAUCCCCUGCACAAGGAUCAGUCACUUUGAGAAAACAUAUCCACAAACAACUUAUUAUGCCUAUUGUCAAACAACAAAGACACCUGUGGCGUCACCAAUUAACGUUCAAGUGAGAAUAGAUCUCAAAUUGCGAGUAGAAGUAGUAUUAACCACACUGUUCAAUUUUAACCAGAAAGCUUGUUAAUGUAAAAAUAUGACACUUGGGCCUAACUCAAUCCCAAAAGCUAGCUCAUGAGGGGAGGUUUGUCCAAGUCCAUAAAAGGAGACCAAAUUUCCAUCCCUCUACCGAUGUGGGACAUCUUAACACUCCCCCACACGCCCAGACCUCAACUGGAGCGUGAACACUUCUAAAUGGGGAGCCCAUCAUUGGUGAACAACAAAUUGGGAUGAGAUAUGACACAUGGGCCUAACUCAACCCCAAAAGCUAGCUCAUGAGGGGAGGUUUGUCCAAGUCCAUAAAAGGAGACCAAAUUUCCAUCCCUCUACCGAUGUGGGACAUCUUAACACUCCCCCACACGCCCAGACCUCAACUGGAGCGUGAACACUUCUAAAUGGGGAGCCCAUCAUUGGUGAACAACAAAUUGGGAUGCAUGAAAAUUGUCCUAAAGCUUCAAUAAAUGGAAUAGACUUGAUAUCCCCUGCACAAGGAUCAGUCACUUUGAGAAAACAUAUCCACAAACAACUUAUUAUGCCUAUUGUCAAACAACAAAGACACCUGUGGCGUCACCAAUUAACGUUCAAGUGAGAAUAGAUCUCAAAUUGCGAGUAGAAGUAGUAUUAACCACACUGUUCAAUUUUAACCAGAAAGCUUGUUAAUGUAAAAAUAUGACACUUGGGCCUAACUCAAUCCCAAAAGCUAGCUCAUGAGGGGAGGUUUGUCCAAGUCCAUAUAAGGAGACCAAAUUUCCAUUCCUCUACCGAUGUGGGACAUCUUAACCGUUAAAACUAAAUUCUCAUUUACACCAACACAAUCCUAGAAGCAAGUAGCCACAGCAGAUACACACUAAGUUAAUGCAAUUCAUUUCCUAGAGUUGCUUGCGAGUGGAACUAAAGAGAUUUCCUAGAAAAAUUGGAAAUGCUAUUUCGUAGUUAAUGCAGUUCAUUAUUUUGCAAUUACCAGCAUAGGUAGCUAAAUCAUAGUUCAAAUUUAACAAUUUCGAAUCUUCAUCCACGAAAAGUACAACAAAUUUGUCCAUGCAUCUAUAGAGACAACAAAAAGCGAACUCACCUAAUAAAAACAAACCAGUAAUUUGUCCAAAACUUUCCGAUCCGAGAUUCAAUCUAUGAAGAUUAAGAUGAGGAAAUCCAAAGACAUGAGAGGAGUGGAAAAAAUAC